rnacentral:rRNA from 2 species
AACUUUCAACAACGGAUCUCUUGGCUCUCGCAUCGAUGAAGAACGCAGCGAAAUGCGAUACGUAAUGUGAAUUGCAGAAUUCAGUGAAUCAUCGAAUCUUUGAACGCACCUUGCGCUCCUUGGUAUUCCGAGGAGCAUGCCUGUUUGAGUGUCAUGAAAUCUUCAACCCACCUCUUUCUUAGUGAAUCUGGUGGUGCUUGGUUUCUG